GUCGGUGGGCAGGGUUCAGUGGGCGGCCUGAGGCGAAGAGCUGCUUGCCGCCGCCUGCUAGGUUGCGCGCGCACUUCAGGCCUUGCGGGCAUGUCCAGCUCUUCUGUGGCUUCCAGCAGGCGAGGCCAAACAGGAUCUUUCUCACUUCCCUACAUCUCCUGGAUCCUGGAGCUGAUGCAGUCAGGUCCCGUGCUCACCGGGGGAACCGGCGAGCCUCUCCAAAGUAUUAAAGGACACUUCCGGAAGAGCCUUUGGCCUGUGGUCAGCCCGCAGACAUCGGUGGUCUCUGUACCUGUAGGAGCCCCAUGAGGGUCCAGGUGUGGGAGACAGUCCUGGGACAGGGCUUCUGCGGCCGAGGCAGGUGGGCAGGCACUCCAGGGGAGCUGCUGUAAAAGGUCAGCCUGCACACAGGCCUGUGCUCUUCAAGACCACGCAGGCCUCACCAUUCCCUCUGACAGCUCACUGCUGCCCUUCUUCACACACGCAAGUUCCCUGUGUGACAUCUGAGUUGGUGACUGUGGCUUCAAAUGAUCAGGAAAACUGCAGUUGACAGCAGAUAACUGAAAGCUCGGAAAGCGAAACCGUGGAUAAGCAGGGGAACUGUGGCAUCCCAUUUAAAAUUGCUUCUGAAGAGAAGCAUGAGGUUACAUCUGUAAUCUCCCUGCAGCAGAGUCAACUGCAUAAGAAACCAAAAGACACACCUGCUCCAUGCCAGCUUCGAUAAUUUCUUUGUACCUUCGGCGAAAGAAGCCCAUCUGAAAGGCAGAAAGAAAGAGGAGAAGCUGAGUUAGAAGUGCUGAAGAAUCAGCCAUUGUGACCCCAAGGCAGUCUGUCCCUGGGUAGGUGUGACCUGCACUCACAGGGCUGGGGAGGCUUGGAGGACCCCUCGGAUUAGAGAAAACACUGGCAAGAAAAACAUCCGGUGGAGACAUUUUUCAAAAUGCAUGGACUUCCUGCGGGUGAUAUUAGGCUUCUUCACUGUGAGCCAAACAUCCAGGGAAGCAUCACAGCCACCCUGAUGGUCAUAAGCUCCCCUGAAGAAGGGAAGGCAGGUGGACCUGAGGAGCUGUCUGUUGCCACCAUCUUUCUACUUCCCUAAAGGGGGCUUAUUGGCCAAGCCAAAGACGAGAACUGUCAAGAGAGCCAGCAGGUAUCUUCACCCACGUUGCCAAGGAGAUCCUGAGCAUUCACUGUGAGGGGAAGUCGAUAAGGUGGUGCAGUUUGAAUGACUGGGAAAGAGCAGAAGCUUUCUUAGAACAACUGGCAAGAGUCUUGUGUUCUGAGCUUCAAUCCUCAAGGCCAGUUUUGUAAACAGAUAUUGAGUUCCUGGUGAUUUCAGCCCUGGAGGUUUCUUCCCAGCAUAAGACCACAUUCAUCAGAAUGCCACGUUCUGACGCCCCCACACAUAUACUUUUCUCUCCUGAAACCUCUUCACCUUCUCCCCUCUGCAAGAGAUGUGGAAAAGGUGCUUGGCCAGAAUUUUCUGGAUAAUUAAGAAAAAGUCAUAGACAUCAUCCCCACAGCACACCCACAGAAGGCCAGAAAAACGGACCAAGACUGAAUGGAAAUCUAAGAAGCUACUGCUUGAAAUGUCAUUCUUUUGCGAUAAAGGUGUGGUUGGCCAAGAAAACAUGACCAGAUGUGGCUGGUCACAUGCCAUGAAGGAGAAUGUAAUCAUGAAACUGUGGAAGGAUGUAACAGGGAAAUAAGAUUCUCUAGCACAUACCUUUGGCUGCUGAUGUUGUAAUGUGUCAAUAAUCCCAGGUCACUCAGUUGUAAUUCCAGAGAAGUCACAUUUCCCUACCAUGGCACUAUCAAGCAGAAACUUAACAGUCUGCCCUCUUAUUAUCUCCUGCAUUUGUCUUAGGACUCCUUGAAGGCAGGCUUUGUGCUUUCAAUCCCCAGUACUCAGCAUCUCACCUGUCCUUGGUACCAGCGAUAAAUUGCAAAGAUGCCCACAUACCCUCCACACCCUUUACCAUGUGACUCUCCAGCUCUUCCCAUCAUGAGGUGGAGUCUAUUUUCCCAGCCUUGAUUCUCCACUGAGACUAGCUUUGACAAUUGGAUGAGAGGGAGGAGAUGUUGUGUCUGUUACACACUUAGUCCCCAAGGGGCUGUGCACACUUCCAAUUACUUUCUCAGAACCCUGCCCUGCUUCCACACAAAUGCCUUUGUCUAACCUGCUAAGAGACCAGUUUUUUUUUGAAGCCCUCCCAGACUAGCCAACUCCCAGCUGCCCGCAGAGGCUCUUGUAAGUCUCGCUGAGCUCAAACUGCCCCACUGAGCUCAGUCCAAAUAGCCAACCCACAGAACUGUGACCUGCAUAGAUGGAUAUUGCUUUUAAGCCGCUCAAUACUGGGGUGGUUUGUCAUGUAGCAUAAGUUAACUGGUACAGACUCAAUAUUUUUUUUGCUGACUUAAUGAAUCAGACAGACAGCUGAUAGGGCUCUAGAUUUAAACAGCAUCAGUUAGUGUGCCUUGCGGAACUGGAC
rnacentral:lncRNA from 1 species